rnacentral:rRNA from 10 species
AAAAUGACUCUCGGCAACGGAUAUCUAGGCUCUUGCAUCGAUGAAGAACGUAGCGAAAUGCGAUACUUGGUGUGAAUUGCAGAAUCCCGUGAACCAUCGAGUCUUUGAACGCAAGUUGCGCCCGAAGCCAUUAGGUUGAGGGCACGUCUGCCUGGGCGUCACAU